UGUCUCAAAGAUUAAGCCAUGCAUGUCUAAGCAGAAGCCGAACAACGGUAAAGCCGCGAAUGGCUCAUUACAACAGCCGUCGUUUCUUGGAUCUCUUAUUUACUUGGAUAACUGUGGUAAUUCUAGAGCUAAUACACGCACUAAAGCUCCGACCUUACGGAACGAGCGCAUUUAUUAGAACAAAACCAAUCGGGUUUCGGCCCGUCCGUUGGUGACUCUGAAUAACUACGCCGAUCGCACGGUCUCGUACCGGCGACGUAUCUUUCAAGUGUCUGCCUUAUCAACUUUCGAUGGUAGUUUAUGUGCCUACCAUGGUUGUAACGGGUAACGGAGAAUAAGGGUUCGACUCCGGAGAGGGAGCCUGAGAAACGGCUACCACAUCCAAGGAAGGCAGCAGGCGCGCAAAUUACCCACUCUCGGCACGAGGAGGUAGUGACGAAAAAUAACGAGACGGAUCUCUUUGAGGCCCGUUAUCGGAAUGAGAACAAUUCAAAUCCUUUAACGAGGAUCUAGCGGAGGGCAAGUCUGGUGCCAGCAGCCGCGGUAAUUCCAGCUCCGCAGGUGUAUAUCUAUGCUGCUGCGGUUAAAAAGCUCGUAGUUGGAUCUGCGUGCUCGGAACCGGUUGGCUCACUGAGUUUAAACUGGUCUCCGGCGCUUUAUCGGCUGGUUUUCCCUUGAUGCUCUUAACCGGGUGUCUUGGGUGGCUAGCACGUUUACUUUGAAAAAAUUAGAGUGCUCAAUACAGGCGCAAAGCCUUGAAUAGUGGUGCAUGGAAUAAUAGAAUAGGACCUCGGUUCUAUUUUGUUGGUUUUCGGAACGCGAGGUAAUGAUUAAGAGGGACAGACGGGGGCAUUCGUAUUGCGACGUUAGAGGUGAAAUUCUUGGAUCGUCGCAAGACGGACGACUGCGAAAGCAUUUGCCAAGAAUGUUUUCAUUAAUCAAGAACGAAAGUUAGAGGUUCGAAGGCGAUCAGAUACCGCCCUAGUUCUAACCGUAAACGAUGCCAACUAGCGAUCCGCUGGCGUUAAACAACGACCUAGCGGGCAGCUUCCCGGAAACGAAAGUGUUCGGGUUCCGGGGGAAGUAUGGUUGCAAAUCUGAAACUUAAAGGAAUUGACGGAAGGGCACCACCAGGAGUGGAGCCUGCGGCUUAAUUUGACUCAACACGGGAAAACUCACCCGGCCCGGACACCGUAAGGAUUGACAGAUUGAGAGCUCUUUCUUGAUUCGGUGGGUGGUGGUGCAUGGCCGUUCUUAGUUGGUGGAGCGAUUUGUCUGGUUUAUUCCGAUAACGAACGAGACUCUGGCCUACUAAAUAGUGGGCGGAUUCUUUCUGUCCGCAACACUUCUUAGAGGGACAAGCGGUGUUCAGCCGCACGAGAUUGAGCAAUAACAGGUCUGUGAUGCCC
rnacentral:rRNA from 1 species